CUAAAAUAAGCAGGGAAUGGUCACAUCCACUUGAGGGAAGGAAAUAGUCCAAAUGGAAUUGGAGAAAUGAGUGUAGCAUCUUGUUCCAGGUACCAAUAUGCAAAAGAGAACAAAAGAAAAAAUCCAAUAGUGUAGACUGUAUCUUCCGCUUUUUUGUGAGGAUUCAAAGUGAAAAGGUAUCACACUCGCCUAUAUUGGAGCUUGAACUAGCUCAGGUGUACUUCGCAUUCAGUGGUAUUGGUCCCCCACUGGUGGGAUAUAGAUGUAUGCACGUAACGAAGAUCCUCGAGAGAGAAGAGGGUAACAGAAUAGUGCUCACUGUAUACAUGUUGUAAUUACGUAGAAAUAAAAUAUAUAUAGAAUACUCACAUUUAAGUGAGCAGGAUAUACUGCUCACUUGUAUGGCAUAGGUGGUAUAAUCCCCACCUAGGAUUCUUGAACGAAAUGGUGAAUAUAGUGUUUUAGUUGUUUUAUAUUAAGAUAUUUCUGUUUUUAUCUACGGUUG